GACAGUGUAGUGUAGUGGUUUGAACAUUGGACUGUUACUCUGGAGGCCAGGGUUCGAAUCCCAGCUUGGCCG
rnacentral:tRNA from 1 species